AGUGGAUGGGGAGCAACCUAGUUGUGCGUGUGUAAAGGUAGUGCCAAGAAAAGCGAUGAUCAUGUUGAAAAUCAAUUCCCGGUACCCGAAACCGACACAGGUGGGCGAGUAGAGAAUACUAAGGGGCGCGAGGUAACUCUCUCCAAGGAACUCGGCAAAAUGACCCCGUAACUUAGGGAGAAGGGGUGCCACCGAGAGGUGGUCGCAGUGAAGAGGCCCAGGCGACCGUUUAGCAAAAACAUAGGUCUCUGCAAACUCGAAAGAGGAGGUAUAGGGGCUGACGCCUGCCCAGUGCCGGAAGGUUAAAGAAGUUGGUCAGUUUUAGGAUGAAGCUAGCGACUGAAGCCCCGGUGAACGGCGGCCGUAACUAUAACGGUCCUAAGGUAGCGAAAUUCCUUGUCGGGUAAGUUCCGACCCGCACGAAAGGCGUAACGAUCUGGGCGCUGUCUCGGAGAGAGGCUCGGCGAAAUAGGAUUGUCUGUGAAGAUACGGACUACCUGCAUUUGGACAGAAAGACCCUAUGAAGCUUUACUAUAGCUUGGAAUUGUGUUCGGGCUUCCUGUGCGCAGGAUAGGUGGGAGGCGUAGAAGGUAUUCUUGUGGGGAUACUGGAGCCAACGGUGAGAUACCACUCUCAGGAGGCUAGAAUUCUAACUUAAUUAAGGACAGUUUCAGGUGGGUAGUUUGACUGGGGCGGUCGCCUCCAAAAAGGUAACGGAGGCGUACAAAGGUUCCCUCAGACUGGUUGGAAAUCAGUCGAAGAGUGCAAAGGCAGAAGGGAGCUUGACUGCGAGAAGUACAGUUCGAGCAGGGUGGAAACACGGUCUUAGUGAUCCGACGGUGCUGUGUGGAAGGGCCGUCGCUCAACGGAUAAAAGUUACUCUAGGAUAACAGGCUGAUCUCCCCCAAGAGUUCACAUCGACGGGGAGGUUUGGCACCUCGAUGUCGGCUCAUCGCAACCUGGGGCGGAAGUACGUCCCAAGGGUUGGGCUGUUCGCCCAUUAAAGCGGUACGUAAGCUGGGUUCAGAACGUCGUGAGACAGUUCGGUCCAUAUCCGAUGUAGGCGUGAGAAUAUUGAGAGGAGCCUUCCUUAGUACGAGAGGACCGGGAAGGACGCACCGCUGGUGUACCUGUUAUGAUGCCAAUUGUAAACGCAGGGUAGCCAAGUGCGGAGAGGAUAACCGCUGAAAGCAUCUAAGUGGGAAGCCCACCUCAAGAUGAGUAUUCUGGUGUAAGGUCACGGGAAGACGACCCGUAAAUAGGCACGAGGUGGAAGUGCAGAGAUGUAUGAAGCCGAAGUGUACUAAUAGACCGUCGGCUUGACCG
rnacentral:rRNA from 1 species